CAGUCGCCGCGGUAAUACGUAGGGUGCAAGCGUUAGUCGGAAUUACUGGGCGUAAAGCGUGCGCAGGCGGUCCGCUAAGACAGAUGUGAAAUCCCCGGGCUUAACCUGGGAACUGCAUUUGUGACUGGCGGGCUAGAGUAUGGCAGAGGGGGGUAGAAUUCCACGUGUAGCAGUGAAAUGCGUAGAGAUGUGGAGGAAUACCGAUGGCGAAGGCAGCCCCCUGGGCCAAUACUGACGCUCAUGCACGAAAGCGUGGGGAGCAAACAGGAUUAGAUACCCCUGUAGUCCCUGUCUCUUAUAC
rnacentral:rRNA from 1 species